rnacentral:rRNA from 1 species
GGAUAACCUACCCUUAGGACUGGGAUAACCCUGGGAAGCUGGGGAUAAUACUGGAUAGGCAAUUAUUCCUGUAAUGGUUUUUUGUUUAAAUGUUUUUUCGCCUAAGGAUGGGUCUGCGGCCGAUUAGGUAGUUGGUUAGGUAAUGGCUUACCAAGCCUUUGAUCGGUACGGGUUGUGAGAGCAAGAGCCCGGAGAUGGAACCUGAGACAAGGUUCCAGGCCCUACGGGGUGCAGCAGGCGCGAAACCUCCGCAAUGUGAGAAAUCGCGACGGGGGGAUCCCAAGUGCCAUUCUUAACGGGAUGGCUUUUCAUUAGUGUAAAGAGCUUUUGGAAUAAGAGCUGGGCAAGACCGGUGCCAGCCGCCGCGGUAACACCGGCAGCUCUAGUGGUAGCAGUUUUUAUUGGGCCUAAAGCGUCCGUAGCCGGUUUAAUAAGUCUCUGGUGAAAUCCUGCAGCUUAACUGUGGGAAUUGCUGGAGAUACUAUUAGACUUGAGAUCGGGAGAGGUUAGAGGUACUCCCAGGGUAGAGGUGAAAUUCUGUAAUCCUGGGAGGACCGCCUGUUGCGAAGGCGUCUGACUGGAACGAUUCUGACGGUGAGGGACGAAAGCUAGGGGCGCGAACCGGAUUAGAUACCCGGGUAGUCCUAGCUGUAAACGAUGCGGACUUGGUGUUGGGGUGGCUUUGAGCUGUCCCAGUGCCGAAGGGAAGCUGUUAAGUCCGCCGCCUGGGAAGUACGGUCGCAAGACUGAAACUUAA